AACGAACGCUGGCGGCAUGCCUAACACAUGCAAGUCGAACGAGACCUUCGGGUCUAGUGGCGCACGGGUGCGUAACGCGUGGGGACCUGCCCUUAGGUUCGGAAUAACUCCCCGAAAGGGGUGCUAAUACCGGAUAAUGUCUUCGGACCAAAGAUUUAUCGCCUUUGGAUGGGCCCGCGUUGGAUUAGCUAGUUGGUAGGGUAAAAGCCUACCAAGGCGACGAUCCAUAGCUGGUCUGAGAGGAUGAUCAGCCACACUGGGACUGAGACACGGCCCAGACUCCUACGGGAAGCAGCAGUGGGGAAUAUUGGACAAUGGGCGAAAGCCUGAUCCAGCAAUGCCGCGUGAGUGAUGAAGGCCUUAGGGUUGUAAAGCUCUUUUACCCGGGAUGAUAAUGACAGUACCGGGAGAAUAAGCGCCGGCUAACUCCGUG
rnacentral:rRNA from 1 species